GACGAACGCUGGCGGCGCGCUUUAUACAUGCAAGUCGAACGAGAAGCCAGAGCUUGCUCUGGUGGAAAGUGGCGAACGGGUGAGUAACACGUGAGAAACCUGCCCCAAAGACUGGGAUAAGCCGAGGAAACUUGGUCUAAUACCGGAUACCUUCUUUUAUCACAUGUUAAAAAGAAGAAAUGCUCCGGCGCUUUGGGAUGGUCUCGCGACCUAUCAGCUUGUUAGUGAGGUAAAAGCUCACCAAGGCAUCGACGGGUAGCUGGUCUGAGAGGAUGUCCAGCCACAUUGGGACUGAGAUACGGCCCAAACUCCUACGGGAGGCAGCAGUAGGGAAUCUUGCACAAUGAGGGAAACCUUGAUGCAGCGACGCCGCGUGCGGGACGAAGGCCCUAGGUUGUAAACCGCUUUCAGUAGGGACGAAAGUAGACGGUACCUACAGAAGAAG
rnacentral:rRNA from 1 species